rnacentral:rRNA from 1 species
AGCGAACGCUGGCGGCAGGCCUAACACAUGCAAGUCGAACGAACUCUUCGGAGUUAGUGGCGGACGGGUGAGUAACACGUGGGAACGUGCCUUUAGGUUCGGAAUAACUCAGGGAAACUUGUGCUAAUACCGAAUGUGCCCUUCGGGGGAAAGAUUUAUCGCCUUUAGAGCGGCCCGCGUCUGAUUAGCUUGUUGGUGAGGUAAAGGCUCACCAAGGCGACGAUCAGUAGCUGGUCUGAGAGGAUGAUCAGCCACAUUGGGACUGAGACACGGCCCAAACUCCUACGGGAAGCAGCAGUGGGGAAUCUUGCGCAAUGGGCGAAAGCCUGACGCAGCCAUGCCGCGUGAAUGAUGAAGGUCUUAGGAUUGUAAAAUUCUUUCACCGGGGACGAUAAUGACGGUACCCGGAGAAGAAGCCCCGGCUAACUUCGUG